UACGAAGGGGGCUAGCGUUGCUCGGAAUCACUGGGCGUAAAGCGCACGUAGGCGGCUUUCUAAGUCAGGGGUGAAAUCCUGGAGCUCAACUCCAGAACUGCCUCUGAUACUGGAGAGCUAGAGUCCGGAAGAGGUGAGUGGAACUGCGAGUGUAGAGGUGAAAUUCGUAGAUAUUCGCAAGAACACCAGUGGCGAAGGCGGCUCACUGGCCCGGUACUGACGCUGAGGUGCGAAAGCGUGGGGAGCAAACAGG
rnacentral:rRNA from 1 species